rnacentral:misc_RNA from 1 species
GUAGGUGAACCUGCGGAAGGAUCAAUGCAGAGAAGUGGGGUUUGUUGGUGGUGGGGUUGUUGGGUGUGUGGGUUGGGAAAGGAGGGGAGAAAUCUUUUUCUUUUUUGAUCCACCAGCCAUCCACCAGCCAUAUACAAUAGCGCAUGUUUUGUAGUCAGAGUGUGUACGGCCAGCAAUGACCGUAAUAAAGAAAACAAGAAACAACUUUUAACAAUGGAUCUCUUGGCUCUUGCAUCGAUGAAGAACGCAG